rnacentral:rRNA from 1 species
CCUACGGGUGGCAGCAGUGGGGAAUAUUGGACAAUGGGCGGAACCCUGAUCCAGCGACGCCGCGUGAGUGAAGAAGUACUUCGGUAUGUAAAGCUCUAUCAGCAGGGAAGAAAAUGACGGUACCUGACUAAGAAGCCCCGGCUAACUACUUGCCAGCAGCCGCGGUCAUACGUAGGGGGCAAGCGAUCUGCGGAAUUACUGGGUGUAAAGGGAGCGUAGGCGGUGCAGCAUGUAUGAUGUGAAAGGUCGGGGCCCAACCCCGGGACUGCAUUGGAAACUGUUGAACUGGAGUACAGGAGAGGUAAGGGGAAUUCCUGGUGUAGGAGUGAAAUGCGUAGAUAUUAGGAGGAACACCAGUGGCGAAGGCGGCUUACUGGACUGUAACUGACGUUGAGGAUCGAAAGCGUGGGGAGCAAACAGGAUUAGAUACCCGUGUAGUC